UCUGGAUCAGAGGUCUUUGAACACAGGCUUCAUCACACCCUAGCUCCAUGACCCUGAACGUAUUACUUAACUUGCCUCUGCUUCAGUGAAUGCAUCUGUGAAGUGGGGAUGUGAAACGCAACUGCAGCAUUGGGGUGUUUGAAAAUCAAAUUAAUUACCAUUUGUGAAGACCUUGAAAGAGUGUCUUACACCUAAUAACUGGCAUCAGAAGAGAUAAGAUCCAGGGGCCAAGCCCAGGGUGUGGUUUCUGGGAGAAGUGAUAAAGCCUAGGCUACUUGGUGGGCUUCCAGUCUAUGCCUUAGAAUGAUGGGAGCGCUGAGUGCAGAGGGGAGAUCAGCGUGAAUGACUAUGUCAGCCACAAGGAAAUGACAGUUCCGACUGUCCUUGUCGGCAAGGACCAGAAAACACCACGUCCAGCCUGCUGGAGCCGUAGGAGAUGUGUUGGUUCACGGAACUGGAAAUCCAGGGUAGGGCCAGCUUCCAUAUUGACUCAGUCCUGUGGUUCUGGAUCCAUUUUCCCUGGCAGGCCUUUGACCCGGCUUUUCUCAAGACACUGGUUUCGCCUCUACCGCGGUAGAGAGAGAGUGACAACAUUUCGGAUUUUCCAUUCUGCACCCAACCCGGUCCAGUGAAGGAGAGCAGAAGUUUUCUCAGAAAAGCAAGACUGAACUUUGUCAGAGCCCUUGAUUUCAGUGUUCCCAAAUGGGCACAUACCCAUUUCUUAACUAAUCCAGCAGAAGGAACAGAUUUCUCCUAAGUCUGGGGAUCUCACAGGAAGGAUCCUGAAGGGGGAAGCAAUCGUGUUCCCAAUAGGCGUUCUGAGAAAAAGACAAGAAAACCUUCCAGGAAUUCCUGAAGGAGAGAAUUGCUGCACAUCACCAUAUAAAACAUUAGAUCUUGAAAAGCCUUCAGAGAUAACCUAUUCAAAUUCCUCAGUCUAUAAAAAAGGAACUCAAGACAAAAAAAAUUAAUAAAUAAAUGAGGUGAACGUCCCAAGACUCUGCAGCCGAAGGUGGCAGAGCUGUGACUCUAACUCAGGCAUUAUUAUUUCAGAUCCGUUGUGCUUCCACACCAGACUAUUUUUAUGCAUCUUAACUAAUAAAAACAAAAACAAAGCACAUAAUUCUGAUUGUUUUCUGAUUCCAGCAUCUGGUGGGCACCACAGCUUAUA